AUGGUUUCCUGCUGUUUCUUUGUGGCCAUGAUGGUCCCUGUGGUGUUGGCUCUGGAACAGUCCGCAGACACGGUGAUACAAGAAGGCCACCCUGUGACUCUGAGAUGUUCCAAGAAGAAAUCCUCCAACACAGCAAUGUACUGGUACAUGCUGCCUUCGCAGAAGGACUCCAGGCUGACCCCAGUGGCUUCUGCAGUGGAAGGUGCUAAUGCAGUUGUUGAGAAGGAUCUCGAGAGCCAUUUCAAGGCCAGUAAGAUACAAGGAGACAGUAUGAUCCUCUCGAUAGAGCAUGCCUUUCUCAACGAUUCUGGCAUGUAUUACUGUGCUGAGAGUGAAACACAGUGGCUAGGCUGA